UUGAUUACCAGUUAGUCUGAGCGAGUACGCGAAGUAGAGUAUUGGGCUUCGGAGUCGAAGGUUAGCAUGGGUGACUUGAUUUUCCGAGAAUGAUUACUGAUUACUUGAAUACUCGUUUGUUAGCUUUGUUGGGUAUUCGUUAAUUCGGCUUCUGAUGAGUAACAAGUACUCGAAUACCGAUUAAUUACUUUUUUCCCACCACUGGUACACCCCGAGCGGGGAAGGACGCGAGCGGAAGAUGUGACGGCACGUGCUUGCGCCAUUUCCCAUUUCAAUACAGUGCUGACUUUGUGUGCAUCGUGAGUGGUUACUAACUUUACUUUUUCAGUCCACUUUAUUCAUAAUUUAAUUGUACAAGGUACUAUAUUCCACAUAACGUCUAGUCCAGUCUUAAAUCGAGACUGCGCAUAGCAACUGGUUCAACAGUUCUAUACGCUCCUGUGAGUCCCCCUUUCUGUAAAGGACUUACGCCUCUCUGCAGCUGCAGCUCUCUGCAAGCCGAAGCCAUAGGGCCAUGGUUGCACCACUCCCAGCCAAACCACCAUUCCCCGUAUUUGGGGAUCGGUGAGAUUAUAGCAGCUCUUAACCUAUAUAAGCUUAACCCAUAUCUUGACCUAUAUACCACCUUAACCUACAUCUUAACCUAUAUAAUAUAUUUAUAUUAUUAGGGUAAUUUAGAAAUAUGGUUUAAUUUAGAAUAUAUUUUAUUUAGAAUAUAGUUUCUAGAUAUUUUGUUCACCCUUUCACUGCGCCAGUAUGGUAUUUAGACCACCCUGAGAGAUGUACCCCGGCGGGCGGAGGCAUGGUGGUUGGACCACUGACCUGCUCUGGCGGCAUCUUCGGUUAUUUUGGUGUAGUCUUAUCCGAUCCCUGCAAGCUAGAAGUAGCUUAUGUGUUAAGUUUGGUUUAGGUUUAAUUUAAUAAAUACAUUAAUUUGGAA